rnacentral:rRNA from 1 species
UAGGGAAUAUUGGACAAUGGGUGAGAGCCUGAUCCAGCCAUGCCGCGUGCAGGAAGAAGGCGUUAUGCGUUGUAAACUGCUUUUUGCCAGGGGAUAAAAAGACCGUGCGCGGUUAAUUGAAGGUACCUGGUGAAUAAGCCACGGCUAACUACGUGCCAGCAGCCGCGGUAAUACGUAGGUGGCAAGCGUUGUCCGGAUUUAUUGGGUUUAAAGGGUGCGUAGGUGGCCCUGUAAGUCAGUGGUGAAAUAUCUCAGCUUAACUGAGAGGGUGCCAUUGAUACUGCAGGGCUUGAGUACAGAUGAGGUAGGCGGAAUUGACGGUGUAGCGGUGAAAUGCAUAGAUAUCGUCAAGAACACCGAUAGCGAAGGCAGCUUACCAAGCUGUAACUGACACUGAGGCACGAAAGUGUGGGGAGCAAACAGGAUUAGAUACCCCUGUAGUCCCUGAGCGGGCUGGCAAGGCGCAU